AUGCCCAUCAGUAUGGAAACAUAUGUAUGCAGAGCACUCAGGGCAGAGCCUGUGCACAGCAAAGGCUCAUUCAUACUGGUUAUUAGUAUUAUUACCAUCAUCAUCCUCUUUUUCUACCGGAUCACCCUUCCUGGGUUUUGUUAUACGUCAGUGUCUAUUCUCCCUCCUGAUGGUAACAGCAUCCCAACAGUGUUUUGGAGAAUCACUCCUCUGCUAUUAGAUGUACGAAGUAGUGGUACCUGUCUUCCUCUGGCUAACAGCUUAUCAGAAAAAUAAUCGAGUUGAGAGUAAUUGGGUUUACAUCAUGGAUUGAACUUUGGAAACUUCACUGACCACUUAAUUUAAACGUAAGUAGACAUACAGCAAACUACAGUUUCUGUAAAUAUUUGAUUAUAUAUGUGGUUUGGAUGUCACUUGCAACCCUUUCUUAUUGCAGCUCAAGGAAUUGGCAGGUAAAAGGAUGGGGUAUAAGACUGAAAAUAUUGGGGGAAACUUCUGCCAACUUUCUUGUCAGCGUCAGUCCUUGCCAAAUUGACGAUAAAGAGAAAUGUGUCCUCGGCACUUCCUAAAUAUUGGUGUCCUUUUCUCCUUUCAGAAUGAAUUCUUCCAGAUUCUUAUAGUCAGCUCAGUAGCAGAAGAGUUUUUUUCAGGAAAGUGUUGAUAUCAGUUGAUAUUAGUUUUUUUUACUUUGGUGUGAAUUUAUAUCUCUCAGAACUCCUGCGCUUUAACAGGAGUCCAGAAAUAAAAGAUCAUCAUUUAAUGAAGGAAAUUCAAGAAUAAAUGACUCUAUGAGGGAGACAUUUUGGACACAUGGGUCCAUUCCAAACAAAACAAGUGAGUUCUUUACACAUGCAUAAGAUUACCCUCCCCAGACCACUCAUUGAUGGGUAAUUGGUAUAAUGGGCUUAAUUUUCCUUCUGUUUGAAGUGAAGCCAACUCUUGGGAUCACCAAGACUAUUUAUAUCUUCUUUCAAGCGGUGUUUGAUGAGAGCUAUUCAAUGAAAAACAUUUCUGAGUUAGUAUAGAAUACAUGAUUUGUCAUAGAUUUAAGAAUAGGGUCAGAGAUGUGUUACCAGAAUGACUUCAAGGAAGAUAUGAUUGAUUGCAAUUAGAAAACAAACCACAUACCAAGCUCUCAAUCAUCAGAAAUCUCAUAGAAAAGGAAACUAUUCAUAGGACAUAAUUACAUAUGGGACUCACACACCUGUUCCAUUUAUAGAAUCCUUUGUCCUCUAAAGAAUGAUAGGAGUGAUAUAGAUAGUAUAUAUAUAUAUUUUUUUUUCCAGGUAGAAUAUAAUGGAAAAUAGUAGCAAUCUAGUUUGUCUGGACUUCUCAUCAAAUGAUUCUGUACAAAGCAGUUCUAAUGUUAUUCAGUUGCACAGAAACUCUCUUGUGCUACUUCAUAUACUAAGAAGCUGUAUGCCUUAUUAAUUUGUAUCCUCAGUGCCAUGCAGACUGCCCAGAACUUAGGUGAUCCCCUAAUGUCUCUUGAAGGCUGAAUGAAAGUAUGAAUGUUGAAAAGAGUCAACCAAAAUGUGUAUAAAUAGUAAGAAAAUUAACAUGAGGAAAAAAGAAAAGAAGGGGACUAAGGUAAUAAAACAAAUUAUACCUACCUUAAAAUCUAAUCUAUCUACAUGAUUAUCUGAAGUCUUUGAGGUGGAAAAUCUCAAAGUUCUCAAAUAUAUCAGUGUCUUAGGAUGAAUUCUGUGUGAGGAUUAUUCACGAGUAAUUAGAUUUUCAGUAGUCUCCUUUUUUUUUUCUCUUAUAUAUACAGUUUAUUAACUUCUCUCAAGCAGAGAACCAUCAAGUAUGCAAUUUUCACUUUGAGUUUUCUUAGUGUGGUGCUGACGUUGUAGGACAAAUCCACAGACAUAGAAACUAACACAGUUUCUACUUUGGGAUGCCUACACUAUUUGGAAAAACAGGAGCAACACAGGUAAGAGUAGAAAACACCAGAAGGAAAAGGGUAUACGAUGGAGAAGGGCAUUUUUGGAUAGCCUUACCUUCUGUUUCCAAUGGCCUUUCUGGAAAGUCAGAUCCCUGGCAACACUAAUCGAAUUUGAGGUGUUAGAACUCAUUAGGGUGGUAGGGUUGUGGGACCAGAAGCCACGCUGACUUGACUUGCCACACUGGCUGUCACACUUAAAUUCUCUGGUGAAGUUACCUCUCCUUUGUCAUUAUAGUAUUUUAUACCUGUUUUUAUUUGAGGUUCAUAAUAAGAGACUGUCACCAAAGGGACACUUGGCUUUAUCACAUUAAGAAGGCACACACCGGCAAAGAUGACUGUGAGACUACAGUUUUCUUCUGUACCAGCAAAAUCAGGGCCAUUGAAAUAGAUAACCUGUCAAGAUACAGUGUGACAAAUAGAUGCAAUAAGUAAUAUGUAAGUUGCUUUCCUCCUUACUGAUAGGGUUUCCUAAAUCUCCUUUAGUUUGGAUCCAUUAUCCUCUCUCUUUCUCUUUCUCUCUCCAACAUUUAUAUUAUAUAAAAUUUCAUAGAAAAUGUUGUUUUCUAAAUUUGUGUUCUAAAUGUAAAUCGCUUUAGAGCCAAUCGAACCUCCUAAUCAUUUGCUAUGAAAUAACUUUUUAUAUCUUAUUUUAUGAAUUUUUAUACCAUUUUCCUGAGGUUUUUAUUUAACUAAGUAGUAGGAAUACCAAAGUGCUGAGUGAAUAAUAUAUAACUGAAACACUGUGCCAAAUAUCUGAAUAAACACAAAAUAAGCCCUGAGUAUUAUAACAAAUAGGUACAAGUUGCCCCCAGUUAGAUUCUUCCUUUCUGUUGCACAGUCUCCUCAGCCUUGUAAAGCUCCAGCUAUUAAACUAAUGGUUUGAACCCUGGAACUUCAGGAUCCUGUGACACACAUUUUGGAGAGGUCCUUGACAGUUAACAGAAUUGUAAAUUUCUGAGAGAUUAUUUGUCACAUGAUCAGAGUCAACAUUCUAUACCAGCUGCUAGAUUUAGCUUCUUCUACUUUAAGAGAGUGGACCUGCAAGUGUUAUCUUCUGGAUAUUUAGCCGGGAAUUAUUUCUGUAUCAGUCAGAAAACCAGCAUGUGUUUCUUAACCACCGACUCUUCCUUCUCUCACCUGCAUCUUCAUUUGGUGUGACGGUGGAAGCCACAGAAGAGCUUGUCAGCUUCCUGUUGGUUAUAACCUUGCCAUGUUGUUCAGCUAAGACCUAGAUAAUGACAUAAUCUCAGAACAAUUAAUAGAAAACCAACUGGCACUUACUGUGUUUGCACUUGGUAUUCAAGGGAGAAAAUGAUUGACAAUUGGCGAGUCAAGACUGUGUGGAGAGCCUUGGAUCUAAGCUGUACCUUGAAGGGGCCUCAGAAUUUUGAGAGGCAGAAGGAAGCAGUCAUGAUAUGUGAGGAGAUCAUCAGUGGGAGCGUAACUGGCAAUGAGCAGAAGGCAUAGGGAAGCAGGCUGAAGAAUGUGCUAACUGGAGGAAAAUUGCCUGGAGAUGGUGGAAAAUCAUUGCAGUUGGCAGGGUGGUGUCUGAUUAUGGAGCAUUGGAGUCCAGGUUGGAGAACUCAGGAUUGAUGGGGCAGUGGAGAGGAGACACUAAAGAUUAUAAGUAGAGAGGUAACAUGAUAGAAGUUGUGUGAGAAGAAACCCAGAGUGGCAGAUGGGACAGUGGCUAGAAAUCAAAUAUAAAGCACUGUUAACAGCCAAGGUUCUGUGUGUAAUAAAUAACCAAUACGCCACGCUGUGCACCAACCUUGUCCUUUGGUUUCACGAUGAUUUAUUUGUUAUACCACCACCCUCAUUAUCUAAAACAGAACACUACAAUUUCAUAUACCAUCUGUGAGCUCCAAAUGGUCAUAAUUAACAAUCACAAAUGUUCUGAAAAGGUGAUGUGCUAAAAAUAGCCUUAUCCGGCUUGUCAGCAGGCUGCUUCUGUGAGUACCAUGACAUUCAAUGGAAGAAUGACUGUAUUUUCUUAUGCCUUCCCGUGAUUAUAUUUCUCAUACAGAUUAUGAAACUAUGGAAACAUGCUUCUCUAAUUAAACAUCUUGAGGUUUAAUAAUUUGACUACUGGUCAGUUAGGGGCAGAAACAUCAAGACUAUACCUAAAGUAAGUUUCUUUCAGAUGAGAUCUGCUACUGUAUUACCUAGAACGUGAUUAGCAUCUUCCAAAAUGCCUACUGAAUGUAGGAAAAAUGUCAGCCAUUCGCACUUGUUUGUGGCAAAUGUAAAGAGCUGUUGUAUUAUUUUGUCUCCAAAGAUUCCCAUUCUUCUUGAAUCCCAAGGAAAACUUAAUAGAGAGAUCAUAGUUUGGUGCUGAAGGAGAGUGACCCUGCCUCUAGAAUGUGCACUGGGAAUUUCUAGAGAAACUUGAUGGUCUCAGCAAAGUCAGGAUUGAGAAUUUGGAGUUUAAUUUUCACCACUGAAAAUGACCAGCUUUGUUAUGCAUAUUUAGACUGUCUAAACUGUUGCAGCUAACUAGAAAAGCAAUGAGCCAAAAAGUGUAUAGAAUUUCAUCAAAUUAAAGGUGCCACUGAUUAUAAGAUGCACCAUUAUCUUAUAUUCUACUUAGAAAGAUAAAACAUUUCAAAUUAAACUAUGGCUUCUUUCUGAUUAUUUCUUUUCUUUUUAUUUUGUCUUUUUUAAUUUUUAUUUUUUUAUAGAAUAAAGUACAUACAUUUACACACAAUUACAUUCACACAGAUUAUUAUAACAUGGAUCUUAAGAAACAGAUUAAGUGACUCCCACUGGAGAAGUGGAAUGGAAAAUAUGCUGAGACAAAUAGGAAAUUUAUUCUAUACUUUAUCCCAAUUUUA
rnacentral:lncRNA from 1 species